CUGUUUUUAAAUAGGACUUCUCCAACACAUUUCUCAGCUUCACUCCCUCAGUCCCUCUAAAUCUCUAAUUCAAUCUUCACGAGCCGAGAUCGCCAGUGCGGUUAAGCGGGAGAGAACUCAGAAUUCAUCUCCAAUGGCGUCCCUAAGAGCAGUCGAAAAUCUCCUUCAAAGCGAAAUCCAUGUCUCUCUGUCUCUCACGCAUUAUCUCCAACACAAUCUCCGCUCACUCCCUCUCUUUCGAGCCAAGAUGCAAUUACUUUCAUGCGAGAGACAGAACUCAGGAUUCAUUGCCAAUUGCGUCCUCAAGACUAUUCGAAAAUCUCUUCCGAAAACGAAUCCAUUUCUCUCCGUCUCUCACGUGUUAUCGUCUCUCUCUGCUAUUGUCUUCCCCUGCCUUAUUCUCAAAACAACCUUUUAGAACUAUUCGCGCUGUUUAAUAGCCUCCUCUCCCUCUUCCUCUUCCACCGCCAUCGCCGAAUCGAAGGAAUCAAGGAUAAUUCAUUGCCAACAAAGCCGACGAAAGGCCAAAAUCCGAGGAGCAGUGAAAUUUGAAAGAAGAUAUGGUCCAAGUCUUCAUUCAAGAAAAUUACCUUGCAAACUGGAUUUAGACAUUGUUUAAUUCACUACUUUCUGAGGACUAAAACAAUGAGGCCCUGGUAUAAGGAGGAGAUGGUCGCUACUUUAAUCAAGAAACUGGCGAAUUUUCUUUGUUCUGUUUUGUUGGUAAUUAAUUGAUUGUCAUUAAGAUGCUGUGGGAAAUUGUGGAGGCAAAAUUUUGGUUGGCAAGUCAGUCUUACCAUAAGCGAAUGUACCUUCUUUUUGUAGCUGUUGAGUGAAGGAAAUUAUGCCAAGUGCCUUCGCUGCCUGCAUUGUGCCUUUUGCUUCAGGAACUAUCCAUUUAAAGAUAUUGGCUGAUUUUAGGCAGGUUGAUCCUGUCUGUGCUGGGGCUCGCUGUUAUGAUGAGUUUAUUCUAUGCUCUCCCAGUCUGCUCUCUGGACUUGCUGAGCUUUGUAGCGGCAUAGAGAGUUUGGUAAUUGGUACUUCCCUUUCUCUGAACUUUUCUCUUUUAGGGACAAAUAUGUGAGUGCAUGCCUUUUGUUAUAAAGUUUUUCCAUGACGUGUUGAUAAAA